UUUUCUCCACAGUCUUGCCAACAUCUGUUGUUUUUUAACUUUCUUAGUAAUAGCCAUUUUGGGUAUGUAAUUCUCUUCCCUUUUGCGGCCAUCACCUAAGCGGGAGCUGCCAAAAUGAAGUUCAAACCCUUUGUGACUUCCGACCGAAGCAAGAAUCGCAAAAGGCAUUUCAAUGCACCUUCCCACAUUCGCAGGAAGAUUAUGUCCUCCCCUCUUUCCAAAGAGCUAAGACAGAAGUACAACGUGCAAUCCAUGCCCAUCCAAAAGGAUGAUGAAGUUCAGGUUGCAGGAGGACACUAUAAAGGUCAGCAGAUUGGCAAAGUAGUCCAGGUUUACAGGCAGAAAUACGUAAUCUACAUUGAACGGGUGCAGCGGGAAAAGGCUAAUGGCACAACUGUCCAUGUAGGCAUUCACCCCACCCUUUAUCACUAGGCUAAAACUGGACAAAGACCGCAAAAAGAUCCUUGAACGGAAAGCCAAAUCUCGCCAAGUAGAAAAGGAAAAGGGAAAAUACAAGGAAGAAACAAUUGAGAAGAUACAGGAAUAAAGUAACCUUAUAUACAAGCUUUGAUUAAAACUUGAAACAAG